UAGGGAAUCUUCCACAAUGGCGCAAGCCUGAUGGAGGCAACACCGCGUGAGUGAAGAAGGGUUUCGGCUCGUAAAGCUCUGUUGUUGGAGAAGAACGUGCGUGAGAGUUAACUGUUCACGCAGUGACGGUAUCCAACCAGAAAGUCACGGCUAACUACGUGCC
rnacentral:rRNA from 1 species